rnacentral:rRNA from 1 species
GAUGAACGCUGGCGGCGUGCCUAAUACAUGCAAGUCGAGCGAACAGAUAAGGAGCUUGCUCCUUUGACGUUAGCGGCGGACGGGUGAGUAACACGUGGGUAACCUACCUAUAAGACUGGGAUAAAUUCGGGAAACCGGAGCUAAUACCGGAUAAAAUUUGGAACCGCAAGGUUCUAAAGUGAAAGAUGGUUUUGCUAUCACUUAUAGAUGGACCCGCGCCGUAUUAGCUAGUUGGUAAGGUAACGGAUUACCAAGGCAACAAUACGUAGCCGACCUGCGAGGGUGACCGGCAACCCUGGAACUGAGCCACGGUCCAGACUCCUCCGGGAGGCAGCGUUAGGGAAUCUUCCGAAAUGGGCGAAAGCCUAACGGAGCAACGCCGCGUGAGUGAUGAAGGGUUUCGGCUCUUAAACCUCUGUUAUUAGGAAAGAAGAAAUGUGUAAGUAACUGUUCACGUCUUGACGGUACCUAAUCAGAAAGCCACGGCUAACUACGUG